AGUGUUUGUUGUUUACGCUACAAAUUAAGUUGUUCUUAAAAAUUUAUGAAGGUUAGUGGAUGAAAAAUUAUUGCAUAUAAUUAGUGGUUUUUCAGUGCCGUUAUUUUGUGUUUGAAAGGUUUUUAUAACUGAAUACGAUAGUGAAGCUGUGAACGGCUUUCGGACUCAGUUGCUUGGUUGCAGUUGUGGCGUGCGGUGGUGCGCGCCUCGUGCUUUUUGAUGAAGGUAUUUUUUUUUUCUUUUUGGACAUCGCGACGCACAUUUUAGUGAAAUGCUUUAACGACGAUAAGUGCGACGUUUAUGCGUUGAAGUCGUUGGCUCACCCAACUACUUCGACUGAUGUGCGAGCCUGCUUGUUUUGAUGAGUAGCGCGGCAGAGGUCAUGAUGCCUGUUGAAGAGAAGGCACCUCGAAACAGUGGCAGCCGAACUUCUGCAGAUAGGUUACGCAUGCAGCUAAUUCCCAGGUGCUAAAGUGUUCUACGUCAACAGCACCUUGACGUCGUGCAAGAGACACCCGUUGAUACGUGGCUGAUUCACUAGCAAGCUCGCAUCUCUGUUGCCACUCUCCAUCAAGUGGGAUUUUCAACUAUUUUUGUGCUGCUCUGUGGUGUACUAGCUGCCGCAUGGACGCUGUGAAGGAUUACUUUGGAUUUGCUCUGGGGUUUAGUAGUAAAGGAUGGGCUAACUUUUGAGGGGAGCCAUUUACUUCUGUUUGUGAGAAUGUUUACCAGCCUAACCAAGUGAUACUUGCGUACUGUAAACAGCAGCACGAACAGAGGCGGACGACGAAAUUUGUAGGAGCGCACACGAGCGCAAGGUCAACUGACAGUUUACUUUUGUUGACUGAGGUAUUAAAGACACUGGUCAACUUAAAGGUAAAAAGCCGUGCAUGCGUGGCAGAAACAGCCACGUGCGACAAGAAAAAAUAUUAAAAAGCCAUGUCAUGUAGAAUAAACGUGCGUGAAAUACGAGAACUAUCGGACAAAUCUGUCGGAUUUUCGAAAGAUUUGUCCAAUAAGUGAUACUACCCAACGAGAAAUACUCUUCUGAGAACUGCAACUUUUUCCCACUAAGGGCAACAGAUAACCUGGUUAUGCAUUGUUUCGUUUGUGAUAAAUAAAUAUUGCAUCUGGAACUCCUCUGGUGUUGCGGUAUAGAGCAGAAAGAACGAUUGUUUCAUCACAAAGACCAGAACACAAGAGGACUUAUGAAAGCAUUAUUUAUUGAUCACGAAUAAAAAUUCAUAAGCAAGAUUUCUGUGACCCUUAGUGGGAAAGAGUUGCUGCAGUACUUCUUGUUAAUAUCACUUACAGGACAAACCUAUCAGUUUUCAUGUUUUUCGUAGUUUUUGACGCACAUGUUUAUUCUACAGAACAUCUUUCGGUUCUUUUUGUUGUGCCGGGCUGUUUCUGCUGCGCAUCCAUGGCUUUUUCUUUGUAAAGUUGGCCAGUGUGUUUAAAAUUAAUACAUGAAGUUAUUUGCGCUGUUUAUUUCAGGAAGAACGCUAUAGGGUCUUAUCUUCUCCUUGUUUUUAACGGUGAUGUACAUUUUUCUAGUUCAACUUCAAGGCGUCCCCUGAGGAUAGCAAUAAGAGUGAUCGUAACUUCCUUUGUGUGUAAGAUUUAGGAAUUUCAUCCAUCCAAGGCAUGACAUGUCACAUGCCUGUUUGUAGGUAUGCAAGCAUUCGUAGUUUGUAAGCAUACUUCGCUUUACUUUUCGAUUCUCAUCACGCUGCUUUGUACUUUGCUGCAUUCUCCAGGCGCAGGAACCUUUUUUAUGCGGUAAGUGCAUGUGUUCUUUUUGUAUAUAUUGGAGAAAAAAUUGUCGUGAUCUUAACUAUGGGUCUAAAUCACUUGUAAUUUUUUUUUCAACACGGGUGCUGUAUCUCUCUCCGUCUUUGUUACGGCUUUGUCCCAAUUUUUAUGCAACUUUUAUGUAUAUUUUGCAAUAAAAUUUUGGUAGGAUUUUAAUAGCAUUUCACCUGCGCAAUUGAGGUCAUUGGUGUUUCGUAUACGCAUUUAUUUGCGUGUUUCACUGUCUCACCAAUCUGGCUGUCCAGUCAUUGGAACCUUUUCUCAUUCUUUAUGACUAUUUCUGGGGUACUUGAUACUGCAAGUGCAGGUGACGAUUUAUUUGGCUGUUUAGAACUGUUAGCCGUGUGUUGCUACCAAUUUUCUGUGCUAAAUAACUAUUUUUUCUCUUAUCGUUCAAGGUAUUAGCCUUGCCUUAUCUCUUUAUUGACUGAGGUAGCACUUUGUUGCUGGGUAUAGGGAAAAAGGCCCCAAAAGUGCUCUAAUUAGCUUUGUGCGAGUUCAGAAAAAUUAUUUAAAAAUGAGCUCACUAAAUUGAGGAAAUUCCGCCAACAAACUCUCCUGUGCCCCAAAUUAACAUAAUCAAAUGGUGAACUUUUUGUUGCUUUGUGCCAGGGAGAUAAGCUGCAUUCAUUACACAAUAGUUUUAGAAGUUUACUUCUGAAGAAAGCAAAGCUCGCUCGUGAAAAAUAUAUGAUUCUGGUGUUCACCAUGCCCGACAACUUUCUAAAUGAUGUUUCGUCAAUUAAUAGCUAAGUUGAGUGAUGUUAUUUUAUAAAAUAAUUGCCAAACAUGAAAAUAUAUACAUCUCGAAGACAGAAAGCUCGGGCAAGUCUACUUUUGUACUUCAUUAAAUUCUAAUCGCGGGGAAAGACGUGUGCUAAAGCUUGUAUAUAUUUACGUGAAGUCAUUUGUUUCAAGUCUGUUAUUUUGCCUUCUCACAGUGAGCCGUAGCUCUUCUUGUGAUGUCUUAGUGUGCGAAACGUUUUAAUGUAACAUAUUCAGAUGUCGUUUCUGUAUUCACACACAAGCAGCUUCAAGUGUUCAUGUGUUCAAAGUUGCUUGUUACAAGGGUAUGCUUAACCGUGCCUUUUGAGUCGCUUUGCCUUCUAGUCAUAAACUUAAGUCCAAAGUGAAGACCACAAUGAUCGUUCUGAUUGAAUUCAUAUGUAUAGGUUUUUUCAGAUGUAUUUACACUGCUAGAGUGCUGUAGGUACUAGCCUAUGUCUCCAGGUUCGAUGCAGUGGUGCCUUAUGUACUGUAAUAAUGUUUCACGUUCACGCAUCUUUAGUGUAGACUUCGACUUUCACGCAUGUUUAGUGUAAAUAAAGGAGGUACUUCAAAUUGAUCA